CCCCUCUCAGGGUCGCACCUGAAGAGUUUCUAGUACCCUACCAGUCUCAGCUAUGGGAGGGAGAGUCAAGCAGAGGCAUACCCAUUCCAUUCCUAGCUUCAGUAGUGGUUAGUGAGUGGAAGGCAAUUUGCUACAAGU